rnacentral:rRNA from 1 species
CCUACGGGCGGCAGCAGUGAGGAAUAUUGGUCAAUGGACGCAAGCCUGAACCAGCCAUGCAGCGUGCAGGAAGACGGCCCUAUGAGUUGUAAACUGCUUUUGUACGGGGGUAAACGCAGAUACGCGUAUCUGUCUGAAAGUACCGUACGAAUAAGGAUCGGCUAACUCCGUGCCAGCAGCCGCGGUAAUACGGAGGAUUCAAGCGUUAUCCGGAUUUAUUGGGUUUAAAGGGUGCGUAGGCGGUCGGUUAAGUUAGAGGUGAAAUCCCGCGGCUCAACUUCGGAAUUGCCUUUGAUACUGGCAGGCUAGAGAGUAGUUGAGGUAGGCGGAAUGUGUGGUGUAGCGGUGAAAUGCUUAGAGAUCAUGCAGAACACCGAUUGCGAAGGCAGCUUACCAAGCUACUACUGACGUUGAGGCACGAAAGCGUGGGGAGCAAACAGGAUUAGAUACCCGAGUAGUC